UUAAAACAAAUUUGUAUGGAGUUCAAAAGUUUGCCUACGUUAGCCACCAGAGGCGCUGUUCCAACUGCAUUCAAAUUUGAGUUA
rnacentral:pre_miRNA from 1 species